AACCCGGACAAAUUCGGACUAAUAUUCCAUAAUGAUAUUGAGAGGCAUCUUUUAAUAUUUAAAGUUCCGACGGUACGGGCUGGGCAUGCGUAACAUUAGCUAGUUGGCAGGGUAACGGCCUACCAAGGCAACGAUGUUUAGGGGUCCUGAGAGGGUGAUCCCCCACACUGGUACUGAGACACGGACCAGACUCCUACGGGAGGCAGCAGUGAGGAAUAUUGGUCAAUGGGCGCAAGCCUGAACCAGCCAUCCCGCGUGAAGGAAGAAGGCGCUAUGCGUUGUAAACUUCUUUUCCAGGGGAAUAAAAUUUUGUACGUGUACGGAAUUGAAGGUACCCUGGGAAUAAGCAUCGGCUAACUCCGUGCCAGCAGCCGCGGUAAUACGGAGGAUGCAAGCGUUAUCCGGAUUUAUUGGGUUUAAAGGGUGCGCAGGCGGAAAGAUAAGUCAGUGGUGAAAUCCUGCAGCUUAACUGUAGAAUUGCCGUUGAUACUGUUUUUCUUGAGUGUGGUCAAGGAAGGCGGAAUGUGUAAUGUAGCGGUGAAAUGCUUAGAUAUUACACAGAACACCAAUUGCGAAGGCAGCUUUCUGGGCCGUAACUGACGCUCAUGCACGAAAGCGUGGGGAUCGAACAGGAUUAGAUACCCUGGUAGUCCACGCCGUAAACGAUG
rnacentral:rRNA from 1 species